ACUGGAAUCCUUACAGAGCACUUAGAGAAAGGUCGUUUAGAAGCAACGCCAAAUGGUGAACGAGCCGGAGCUGCUCUGGCUCCGACGCUCAGAAGAGUCGCAGCCUUGCCGGAGGAGGAUCGGAAAAUGGCCCUGGCGGCAAAGGAAGCCAUCGGCAAAUCUGAGAAUGCAGCCACGAUGAACGAACGGAGUUCCGUCUUAGAUUUAGGGCAUUGAUAUGCUAAACCCUGCCGCCGCUACUAGAG
rnacentral:misc_RNA from 1 species